UACAGAGACUGCAAGCGUUAUUCGGAUUCACUGGGCGUAAAGCGUGCGCAGGCGGUUUUGUAAGCCAGAUGUGAAAGCCCCGGGCUUAACCUGGGAAUGGCAUUUGGGACUGCAAGGCUUGAGUGCGGCAGAGGAGACUGGAAUUCCUGGUGUAGCAGUGAAAUGCGUAGAUAUCAGGAGGAAUACCGAUGGCGAAGGCAGGUCUCUAGGCUGACACUGACGCUCAUGCACGAAAGCGUGGGGAGCAAACAGG
rnacentral:rRNA from 1 species